rnacentral:rRNA from 1 species
AUUGAACGCUGGCGGCAUGCCUUACACAUGCAAGUCGAACGGUAACGCGGGGGCGAACCCUGGCGACGAGUGGCGAACGGGUGAGUAAUACAUCGGAACGUACCCAGUAGUGGGGGAUAGCUCGGCGAAAGCCGGAUUAAUACCGCAUACGACCUAUGGGUGAAAGCGGGGAUCGCAAGACCUCGCGCUAUUGGAGCGGCCGA